rnacentral:rRNA from 1 species
CCUACGGGUGGCAGCAGUGGGGAAUAUUGCACAAUGGGGGAAACCCUGAUGCAGCGACGCCGCGUGAGUGACGAAGUAAUUCGUGAUGUAAAGCUCUAUCAGCCGGGAAGAAAAUGACGGUACCGGAGUAAGAAGCCCCGGCUAACUACGUGCCAGAAGCCGCGGUAAUACGUAGGGGGCAAGCGUUAUCCGGAUUUACUGGGUGGAAAGGGAGCGUAGGCGGGAGUGCAGGUCUGGAGUGAAAGGCGGGGGCCAAACCCCCGGACUGCUCUGGAAACUGUACGGCUGGAGUGCAGGAGAGGUAAGUGGAAUGCGUGGUGUAGCGGUGAAAUGCGUAGAUAUUAGGAGGAACACCAGUGGCGAAGGCGGCUUACUGGACUGUAACUGACGUUGAGGCUCGAAAGCGUGGGGAGCAAACAGGAUUAGAUACCCUUGUAGUC